GACGAACGCUGGCGGCGUGCUUAACACAUGCAAGUCGAACGCUGAAGCUCAGCUUGCUGGGUGGAUGAGUGGCGAACGGGUGAGUAACACGUGAGUAACCUGCCCCCUUCUUUGGGAUAACGCCCGGAAACGGGUGCUAAUACUGGAUAUUCACUGUUCUUCGCAUGGGGGUUGGUGGAAAGGUUUUUUCUGGUGGGGGAUGGGCUCGCGGCCCGUCGGCUUGUUGGCGGGGUGAUGGCCUACCAAGGCUUUGACGGGUAGCCGGGCUGAGAGGGUGACCGGUCACAUUGGGACGGAGAUGCGGCCCAGACUCCUACGGGAGGCAGCAGUGGGGAAUAUUGCACAAUGGGCGACAGCCUGAUGCAGCGACGCCGCGUGAGGGAUGGGGGCCUUCGGGUUGUGAACCUCUUUCGCACAUGGUCAAGCCGCAACAUUGGUUGUGGUGAGGGUAGUGGGUAAAGAAGCGCCGGCUAACUACGUG
rnacentral:rRNA from 1 species